GCGAGGAGACAAGGAUAGUCAGCUUGCUCCAGCGACAGUCCACCGAAUCGUGACAACGUCCUCGUCUGGUGUUCAGUUCCUUCGCGAAGAAGAUAACACUAAAGCAUGAUGGUUUGGAGCCUCGAGGGUUGUAGUGAGGACCGUGGUCUGCCUCUUAGUGGUGCUCCAGUUGGGGAUCAAUGCGACUAGUAGUAGUUCGGAGCCUACAUUAAAAGUACAUUACUUGACAAAUGGACAAUGCAAGACCAUCGACUAUCCAUGCAAUGACCAGCCUAACGGAUGCAACCCCUUCUGUUCCAAGGGAAUCGACAAGCGUAAAUUCAUAUGCACCUGUACAUCUACUGGUAUGACGGGUCACAUGGAAGUCGACUUUUUGACACAAGGCGUCCCCACUUGUUACGAGCAAAAGCUGGUGGCGAACUACGACGAUACUAUCAACAAAAACUUAUGUGGAGACGAUACCGAAAACAUUAUCACUACGGGCGACAGAAUCCUUAUUCGCGUAAAGGAUUAUCAAAAUCCCAGUUUCUUUGAUGAAACAAACGAGUGCUCCUGUAGUGACCAGUGUAAUUGCAGAUAUACAGCAUGCUGUGUGGUUGAUUAGGGACCACAGUAUACAACAUGGUGCCUAAUGAUAGUGAUCAAUGAUAGUAACACUGAUGAUGAUAAUGACAACCAUAAUAAGUAAGAUGUUAGUGAUAAUGUUAUGGAGAAAUUAUUGGACGUAGACACAUAAGAACAAAUAAAUUAUUAUAUCACCUGGGAAA